rnacentral:lncRNA from 1 species
GAAGUAUGGCAUGUGUUUGGCUUGCUAUAGGCUGAAGCAUGGUUAUAACUAGUCCAAUAUCGAAAUUAAAUCAAAAUGCUAAAUUAUGUUUAAUAAUAAGUAAAUUGAAUUUUUGCAUAACUAUAAGAUUGGGGGAAAGAGGAGCAUUUGGACUAGCCAGCAUGUGUGAAAUAUGGUAUAUGUGAUAUUAGUUGUGGGCUAACAUGUAAUUUUAUGGUUGCCAGCCAUAGGAGAAAAUGUAGUGCUUGUUUUGGCCUACCAUAGGUUAGAGCGAUCCAGUGCCGAGAUGAUAAUAUUAUCUAGGUACGAAUUGUGUUAACCAAUUAAUGACAUGUAAUCUUACUGAAUAACAAUAGAAUAGAAUUAUUGUUUGGGUGAUAUGUGAUGCCUUUACACAAAAUUGUAGUGAUAUAUAUGGCAUAUAUCUCGAGACUCCAAUUAUGAUGCUAUGUAUGUAACUGAGCUGCAAUGUAGUUUUGAUGUAUAUACUAGUAUAGCUUAUAUACAUUUUAUAAGCAUAAACACUAGAUUCGUUAAGCAUUAUUCAACUAUCAGAUUGUUGAUGUAUAAAUCUUAUAAUUUGUCUGUCAGCUCUAUAUUUACUAAAAGUUAUUUUCAUAUUCAUGUUGGUAUGCGUGCAUGAGAAUUCAUACUAUUUUA